CGCCUUUGAAUGUCCCAUGUUUGGUGCUCUCUUGCAAAGUCCAAACGAGCAGUUCUGUGGCGUUCAAGGAGACGAGGUCUUUGAAGACGUUUUUUGUUUUUGAAGCCCUUCAGUCUCAGAUGCCGUCUGAUGGUUAUGGGGCUGCAACCCUGCUUAUGCAGUUCAACAACCCGACCACGUUCAAAAA